rnacentral:rRNA from 1 species
UACGUAGGGUGCGAGCGUUAAUCGGAAUUACUGGGCGUAAAGCGUGCGCAGGCGGUUUUCCAAGACAGAUGUGAAAUCCCCGGGCUCAACCUGGGAAUGGCAUUUGUGACUGGAAGGCUAGAGUGUGUCAGAGGGGGGUAGAAUUCCACGUGUAGCAGUGAAAUGCGUAGAGAUGUGGAGGAACACCGAUGGCGAAGGCAGCCCCCUGGGUCAAGAUUGACGCUCAUGCACGAAAGCGUGGGGAGCAAACAGG